UCCAGAACUAAAGCACUGGGGGUUUACUAUGAAAUAUGUGGCAGGUGCAGGCACAUUGCUAUUUAAAUGGUCCUUGAGCUGAACAAUACAUACAUGCUCCAAACUGUGACUAGCGGUUUAGAUUUUUUACUUGAACUGUUCCAAAAUGUCAGCUGAUCCAUAGUUAAAAACUCCAAACAUAGGGAAUAAUAUUUAACAUACCUUUAAACAUUCCUGUAAACAUUCAAAGACUAUUCAGCACUAGAGAUGGGCCAUACGCUCUGAGGGGAACACUGAUUUUAAAGCAACCUAGAGUUCGCACCACUCUGAAAACCCUGUGCAUAUCAGUUUGUGGAGUGAAACAGUGGAAUGGUCUUCCUGAUAAUGUUAAACUAAGCAGAAAUGUCUUACUUUUUAAAAAACGGUUCAAAUUCAUGAUAUUAGAAAAAUACAGAUUAGAAGGAUAGUUGAUUACUGCUGUUAGAUCCAGUCGGGUACCAAGCAUGACGAUGUUAUUUGUGACAGGGAAUAGGGCCCUUCCUAUGUUCCCCAAAAUCCCACUCCUCACCUGACUCUGAAGGCAACCUUGGUAGGUGGGUGUGGAGAGGUAGCAGCUCCACCCACAGACCAAUCUCCCAAUUUGCGGCUCACGGCAGGUGUAUAUAAAGGGGUUAGCUCAUCAGCCAGUAUGCAAUGCUGGUUGAUGGGCUGCCCUGGUGAUUUCUCCUGCUGUGAGCUGCCAAUUGAGCUGUGUGGCCCCAGUUGGGAACAAGACAUGAGUUCUCCCUCCAGCAGAGGUUUGAGUCUGUUCUAGGACUGGUAAGUAGGGUGCUUGGUGGCACCUGAGGUAAAUUUAUUAGAUAUAUAUACUGUAGCACUGUAGGAUAACCAUUGUGUUUUCUCAUAGGUUCCUGCAGUUGCUGUUUUCUGCCUCCCAGUUUUUGAUAUGUUGUCUCUGGUAUACCUGCUGUCGUUCUUAAGAUAAUUCUUGUACUUUUAUUGGAGUGUUGUGUUUUUCACAGGUUGUGAGUGCCGCCAGGUGGGGUCAGCCACCCGGGUGAGGUCCCCUUCACUGUGUUGCUGUGGCUUGGAGCACUGGGCACCUUUUUUUCUCUUUUGUUUUAGUUUGCUGUGUGUGUGUGUGUGUGUGUGAGUGUAUGCACCCCCGGACACUCUUCCCCUUUAAAACCUGCCCCCAUCUUUUCGGCGGCCUCAGCCAUAACCUUGUUCCAGUGUGUUUUAGUGGCACAUGAUAUUUUUAGCUUGUGGAUCUGUUUAAAAUAAUUGCUCAUUGUAAUAAAAUAUAUCUUUAUACGUAC